rnacentral:misc_RNA from 1 species
GCAUCUACCGAUUGAAUGGAGAGGUAAAAUCUCCGGACUAUGACGCGUUGGGGUCAAACCUAAUGCAGUCGUGGGAAGUGGAUUAAACCUUUCCAUUUAGAGGAAGAUGAAGCCGUAACAAGGUUUCCGUAGGUGAACCUGCAGAAGGAUCAAGAUCGGAAGAGCACACGACGGAACUCAAGACACGUGGCCUUACCUCGUAGGUCGUCUUCUGCAUGAAAAAAAAAAAACUCUGUAAGAAGUUAACUUGCCCCUUCGCGGAGGUCUCAUUUACAUG